ACGGGUGAGUAACGCGUGGGAAUCUACCCAUCUCUACGGAAUAACGCAUGGAAACGUGUGCUAAUACCGUAUACGUCCUUCGGGAGAAAGAUUUAUCGGAGAUGGAUGAGCCCGCGUUGGAUUAGCUAGUUGGUGGGGUAAAGGCCUACCAAGGCGACGAUCCAUAGCUGGUCUGAGAGGAUGAUCAGCCACACUGGGACUGAGACACGGCCCAGACUCCUACGGGAGGCAGCAGUGGGGAAUAUUGGACAAUGGGCGCAAGCCUGAUCCAGCCACGCCGCGUGAGUGAUGAAGGCCCUAGGGUUGUAAAGCUCUUUCACCGGUGAAGAUAAUGACGGUAACCGGAGAAGAAGCCCCGGCUAACUUCGUGCCAGCAGCCGCGGUAAUACGAAGGGGGCUAGCGUUGUUCGGAUUUACUGGGCGUAAAGCGCACGUAGGCGGACUAUUAAGUCAGGGGUGAAAUCCCGGGGCUCAACCCCGGAACUGCCUUUGAUACUGGUAGUCUUGAGUUCGAGAGAGGUGAGUGGAAUUCCGAGUGUAGAGGUGAAAUUCGUAGA
rnacentral:rRNA from 1 species